UACAGUUUUAUAAAAUUUGGGUCACAUAAUCUCCUUGCAAAAUGAAACAAAUUGCCGUUUUAAAAAAUAGGGGUCCAUGCACUCGUUUUCAAAUUAAAUCAGUUUGAAUGAUAAAAAUCAGUCGAAAAAAUGCAUCUUUUCCCGAUAUGUCAUAGUUUGACGUCGCGAAAAUAACAUUUUACGUUAGCAACGUCAUUACCUCCCCUGUAACUGUAUCGUAUGCCCUUAAGAU
rnacentral:lncRNA from 1 species